GUUAUUUUCUGCCCCGGCUGCUGGUGGGGCUAGCCUGGCGCCAGCCCCCGGGACCUGGAGAGCUAGGGGCGGGGGGCUGGACAUUUGCCCCUUAACCCUCCACCCCCCCCAAUGCCCUAACGAUGCCAGGAGGCCGCCGCUGAAAACUCACUCAUUUCACUGUCAUGGCGUCUCCCGUUGAUAACCUUAUAUUUUCUCCACUGAUGAAUGAGACUUCUUAAAUAUUCCAGCUGACCACAGCGUGUCGGGAUGACUUGGAUGUUAAACUCGCAGACAUGUCAAUGGUAGUCAAUUGAUCCAUCACGUUGCGGAGGGCCACUGGGCUUAGAGAAGGCCAAAGCGGCUUGAUCCUCCUCAAAUCCAAAGCAAACAGGCACAACAUGGCCGCCCUGAUGCGCCGCAGCCUCGGGGCCUGAAAACAGGAGUUCCCCUGAGCAGCUAUCAAAAGCUUUGCUUCCCGCCAAGUGCAAAGGCCUCACGAUCCCCUGGAGUCUCAGAGGGCGAGGAAGACACGACCGGAGUCAACAACCUUCGUCUGUCCUUUUCAAGACCUUUACCCGCUCAGAGCAAAGCGUCUCAAUGAAUCCAGAACUUUCACUGUAAAUAUACAUAUUGAAGCCAUUACUCGAGGAGUUUGGAUGAGUCAAACGAUGAAGAAUGGCAUUACUCGAGCAGCAAAAAAGACAAGUCUUUCUUUUGAAGACGAUACUCCGUCUCCGGUUGUCGGUUGUGUUUUGCUUCCCUGAAAACAUGCACUUCAGAGAAGGGAGAAGCCCCGCAGAGAGACGGAGAGGAGGGGAGGAGACAAGGGGGCCAUGCAAAGAGAAGUAAGGAAGCGAGUGACUGGCCGCGUUCAAAAGGGAGAAUGGUGCCAAACGCUGGGCAAGAUCAACUACUCAGGACUGUUUCCUUUGCCAAGGACGGUAAUUAAAGCACAUUCCACCCCAGAGUAGAUCCUGGUUUUGAAUGUCUCCAACAUUUCCUUUUAAACAAUUGUGGAAACAGUUUGGAUUAUUAACAUGUGUGUCCACUCGGUCCAGCUCACAGGAGAAACAGAUUGCUCAGCUUUGAUGAGAGCUCUAAUAAAUUAUCAAAUUUGUCAAGUAACACAUUCCAUUGAAAACUAGCGUCUAUUACUUACUAUUGCAGCCCAGGCUUCAUGCAAAAAUGCAACAUUAUGCUUGUGGGCUUUCAGUCUUGAAAGGCUGCAUAGAAUGUGUAGAAUGUACCGCUGCACUGCGGUUCUGUGCACACGCUGCUGCAAAGGAGCCAACAGAGUCUCCCGCCUGAGAUUAUCUUCUCCGUGAAACAUGACCGGGAAACCUCCAGGAGUAAUAAUCGCCUAAAUGAUUUAUUGCACUCAAUAAUAACUAAU
ensembl:lncRNA